rnacentral:lncRNA from 1 species
UCGCAUCCUUAAGAUCUGACUUGUUCCCAACAAGUAUUGUCACAACGUUCAUAUCAGAGUGAGCUGUUAAAUAAUACACCAGUGCACUUAAUCAUCAUUUCAUCAUAUUCACAACCACCAAUAUAUGCGAGUACAUGUUUUUGAAUCAAAGCAAAAACAAAAGGAAAAAACAACCAUCAAUAUGUGUGUACAUGUAUGUCGAAGAAUAACAAGACUGGCAUAAAGAUGCAGAAGUUCAAAUUCAAAUGAAAAGACACAAUAAAACUUUACACUGUUGGUGAAGUAGCUUAAGAACCUAAAAUGAAGAGAGUAAACCAUUAGCCUUUGAAGUAUCACUCUCUUCAAUUUAGUCCCUAAAGUAUAUGCGAAUAAUUAGUCUCUUAACGUAUAUGACAUCCCCUUCUUCAAAAAAAAAACACUUAUAUGGCAUCCCUCAUUUUAGUCUAAGUAUAUGAAAAUAUGGCAUGUUAGUCCCUAGCAUCUUAAAAGCAUAUAUUAAAGUGACGAGUUCCAUAUACUUCAAAGAUUGCUUACUCUUUCUAAAAACUUUAGAAACUAAGUUGGAGAAAGAGUGAAACUUUAGAGAUUAAAUUGAGGGUUUAUUCAAAUGAAAAUUUGCAAUUCAGUAUUUACAAAAUAAAAUCGCCUCAAGGAAAAGAAUGAAGAGGCAUAUAAUUUUGUUUAUUUACAUAUAGGACCAUAUAAGUACUAUAAGGCCAUUAAACUUUCCCCAAAAAGGGCCAUUAAUUUUCAGUAUCAUAAAUGUUUUCUAUAUUGUACCAAUGUCAAGUUUAUUGAGAAAUUAACAGUUCCUGAUCAUUUACCUCAAAAACAUAGAAAGAACAAGAAAAAUUUCAAGGCAAAGAAAGAUUCAAAGAUAGUUAUAAUUCUUACUGUGAAGUUCGUUAAGCCAUCGACCAAUGCUAUCAAACGUUUGACGCCUGCUAAUGUCAUAUACCAG